CAGUGAAAUAAAUUCCUUUGGGAAUUUGCGAAAUAUGCUUUGCAUGUGAAAUACGCCUGCGGGCAUGAGAAAUCGGAU
rnacentral:sRNA from 1 species